rnacentral:rRNA from 1 species
GACGAACGGCUGGCGGCGUGCUUAACACAUGCAAGUCGAACGGUGACGAGGAGCUUGCUCCUCUGAUCAGUGGCGAACGGGUGAGUAACACGUGAGCAACCUGCCCCAGACUCUGGGAUAACAGUUGGAAACAGCUGCUAAUACCGGAUACGAGACGGAGAGGCAUCUCUACCGUCUGGAAAGUUUUCGGUCUGGGAUGGACUCGCGGCCUAUCAGCUAGUUGGUGAGGUAAUGGCUCACCAAGGCGACGACGGGUAGCCGGCCUGAGAGGGCGACCGGCCACACUGGGACUGAGACACGGCCCAGACUCCUACGGGAGGCAGCAGUGGGGAAUAUUGCACAAUGGGCGAAAGCCUGAUGCAGCGACGCCGCGUGAGGGAUGACGGCCUUCGGGUUGUAAACCUCUUUCAGCAGGGAAGAAGCGAAAGUGACGGUACCUGCAGAAGAAGCACCGGCUAACUACGUG